GAUGGCUGCGUGUCAACUGGGCGCGGCGGUACGGUCAACACGGGCAUUUUCCCAGUUUCUGUCCGUGGCCAACGAAACGGCAGGCGAGGAUCUGUCCCGUCCGCAGC
rnacentral:sRNA from 1 species